ACUUGAGAUUUCCUAUCUCACUAAUCUGUCAUUUUCAUCUUACUCUCUCACAUUUUCACUAUCUCUUUAUCUCCACCUCUUCUGCAUCUCCUUAUCACUUUACAGUCGGAUCCGGUUCCUCUCCUGCCAAUCUCUCUCCGGCGUCUCACCGCACACGGCCGUUGAAGCUCAUGACCGUCGUCUCCGCCAAGGACCCAAACGUCGUCGCGUCUCAUCGUUCUAGCACCGCUCUCGGCGCUGGCCUGCUCACGACCGCCUUAUCCCACCCAUUGUGCCUCUCGCUGACGAAGCAAACCCAACCGCGUCUCGCCGUCUCCGAUUCUCUCAUUCAAUUUGUCGCCGUCAAGCUCAAGCCCCAUAUCCUUCAAUAUGACUACCCCUGGUUUCCAAUUUCAAAUUUAGGAACACAAAACAUGUAACAUUGUACAAGAGGAAUGUAGAUUGUCUUGGCAUUUUAGAUUUUUUGUGGUUGUACCAGAGGACAUGACUAGAUGAAGAGUAGUACCUCGCACGCAAAAAGGGUUUUCUGUGAUACUUUCAUACAUGUCCAUCGGUUUCUGGAAUCACAAUUGGCAGUGCUGCUUCUUCUGUUCAAGCUUCAGCUGAUGAUGAUGAUGACUAUAUUCGGGAGGAGCAAAGUGUUGAUGAUCCAUCCGGUUCAAAUGAUAAGGGAGUCUUGCAAGUCGGAGGGAACCUUAUUAUAAAGAUUUUGGAGAGUGAAGAUUCCAAAGAAAUCAGUCAGAUUUGUAAACCAUUAUUUAGAAAGUCAUCGUAGCUGAGGCCUAAAGCCACAAGACCUUCAUCAAGAGAGAUCUAUUUGAUAUGUCAUGGUUUAAAGCCAGAAGCAAAGACAUAGGUUGUUUUAUACGAUAUUCUUUGUCUGGGUGAACAUUAGGGAUGAACAACAUACAAAACUCACCUUCUCCUUUAUUUUUUUAUGUUCAUUUUCAUUACUAUAUUUGUGCUUUGAUUUUGUUAAAAGGGUGUUCUACUUUUGGGCUCUACUAUGUUCAUGGGAUAUUUUCUAUUCUUAAUUUAAUUAUAAUAAACUACUUUUAAGAUCAGUCGGGGACCAUAUAAGAGACUAUCAAAUUUUUUACCUUGUGCUCAAACUGGAUUUUCUAAUAUUUUUGUUAUUAUCUUAUGUUCCUAAUUUAAUUUAUACCAUUUUAAACUUAAAUUAGCAGGAUCUGUUGCAACAAUGGGUAAGAACCAUUUGUGAGUUUAGUGACAUAAUUUGAUUGUCACCAUGGUUUCAAUUGUGCAUAACACUCAUUUGUUUCUUGCCUUGUUUACUUUGUGUUUUCCUGAAUGAUUUUCUUGUUUGCUGUCUGACAAGUUUUUAGUUUCAGGCACACUAGUUGUUCAAUGAAAUAGGAUAAAUGUGCGAAAGCAAGAAUCAUGAAGGUGAAAGAGCAACCCGUUUUAGGCUGAGUAGCACCUUAUUGAAUCGCACCUCCAAUAUUUUGUUCAUUGUGAGAGGUCCAUUUGAAAAAUCUGGGAAUUUUUACAUUAUUCCUUCGAUUUGGGUGCCUCUCUCUAUCUCUCUCUGUCGAGUUCUCCAAUUUCUUUGUUUAUCAUCACUAAUUCCUUUGUUUAUGUUCUGCAUAGUGAGAUUAAUUGAUUGCUUUAAAGAAGUCAAUUUAUGAGACUGGGCAUUCAAGGGAGUUUGAGUGAUUUGGUUACCGAGGUAUAUGGACUAUGUAGUGGAUUAUCUUUCACAAAUCGUACCGACUGUCUAGCGCAAGUUGAUCCAGGUUUCUCCUUCCUCGACCUUUCACAUUUUUUUAUGUGAAUUUAAUUUACAUUAUGAAUUCUUUAUUGAUUUGGGUUUGUGGAAAGUUCAGGACUUUCAUGUUUUAACCAUGUGAUGUGACCAAUUGCAAUGAGUAAUGUUCAAAAUCACUCUUUGUCAUCAAAUGUUGGCACAUCAAAUUUGCGAUUGAAAUUUAAGAAACGUGAACUUUACUACGUAAUGCAUCCAAAUGGUAAAGCUCUUAAUUCAUUGUUGAUUUUUCUUUGGCCAUUUUCAUGAUUUGGUACUGUUAAAUUGUGCUAUUAACUUUUGAUUUUCUAUAGUGAUUGUGCAUGUUUUGUCUUUAUCUACUUUCUUCUUUCAUAUGUUUGUUGGCUACUUAGAUAUAUGACAUACUCCUCUUUUCUCAGAAUCAAUUAAUUUCCACACAUGCUCAUAGUGUGCUACUUGUUUCUAAUUUUGUUUCAUUGACUCCAUGUUCUGUGGUGCUAAAAUUAACUUGUGGCAGUUUGUAGGAGGAAAAAGGGUGGAUGGUUUCGUGUCUGAGAUCAUUUGGUCAUGCUAAUAUUGACUGUUUAAUAGGGAGGAUAAAGGAUAAAUUGUAAAGCUGUUUGGAAUGAAGGAGGAUAAAUUGUAAUGAAGGAGAUUGACAUCUGGUAUUGAUUGUAUUUGUUUAGAUUUGGUAAAGUGGCCAGAAAUUUCCUUUAGAUCAGAAAAGUAUAAAUGAAAGGUAGAGUGGAUCGUCCACAUUCACUGAGUGCAUGUUUGUAAAUUUAAUAGAUUUUCUCAUUUGGGGGUUAAAUGAUUCUGGAAGAAGCUAUUAGAAGUAAUUCUUACAUAGGGAAAAAUGAUCAUGAGAGAGUUAAAGUAGAUCCAAACAUGGUGAAAAUUAGCUAUAUGUAUUACAGAGGAAAACAUUUUGAGGAUUGACCGAUAAAAUUAAAUUAUCGCCUGAUAAUCCCAAUACAAGCAACCAGGAAACUCUAUAAAUGUCUAUACCAGCUUUUCCAUUUCUAAGUAUCUAGGAGAAUUAAAUUUAGUAGGUAUACGCAUAAUGUACAAUAUUGUUUUAAUUGCACUAACAGUACAAAAAAGAAGAAAUUGUUUGUUAUGGAAUACUGGCUUAACUUUUCCUUCAAUGAUUUUCAUAAUAAAGUACAAAAAAAUGUGGAUUCCAUACAUUAAUUCAUUUGUGGGGCACUAUGAUCUAUUUGACUAUAGUAUAAGGAUCCAUCUCACACAUAACAUUACAUGUGCACAUUUCAUAUUAGAUGAUUUAGUUUCUAGCUUACUUUUUAAUAUUAUCAGUGUUACUUUUUAAUGGCUUACUUCAUUUUUGAGUCACUUGGUAUUCCAGUUCUACUGAGCUAGGUGUAUAUAACUUUGCUGUUUUUCACUGUUUCAUGGUGCAGAAAUUAGACCUAACACAACUAAACCUUUGGAUUCUGAGUGUUUUUCCUCAAAAACUUGUGCUUCCUAGGCAAUUAUAUUUGCUUCAUUUUUUUUAUUCUCAACUAAUUGGAUCAAUUGCAUGAUUUAGUGAAGUUACAACCCUGAUUAUUUGUUCCAGCCUUGGAACCACCUCGAAAAAUGAAUUUUGUCACUGACAUUCCUCCAGUCAGUGUUGAGAAAAAUAUUUUUUUUCUUCUCUUUUGAUGGCAAUCCUAUCUCUAUGUAAAACCUUUAAUAUAAAAUUUUGUUUCUAAUACACUACUAUCAUGUUUUUAUAUUGAUGUCCUGUUCCUUCAGCAAUUGAUAUGUUGAAGCUAAUUGUAAAAACUAAAAACCAUGCCUGGUAAGGGAUCCCGCCUGGUAAACAGGUGAUUCAACCACUUCCCCAAAUUGAAGAAGUGAACCACCAUUAAGUGGGUCAUGUACUUCUCCACUGAUGUCCUACACACGACACAACCUUGUCUCUCUUUUAGUAUAUCUUUUAUCUUUUUAAGACAAAUGUCGAAGGUAGCAAUAAAACAGAAACCAAAUACUUUGCCCUUUUUUGAUCCAUUUCUGUUUCUCUUCAACGAAUGUAAAAAGAACGUUUUUUAAUGUAUUAAGAGGAAUUGAGUGCAUUAGCAUCUAGGAUUUGGAAAGAAAAAGAAAAUUUUGACAUAAAGUAGGAAAUUUCAAAGUAAUCUUGACAUGUUGAAAAUAUAAGCUAUUGAGAUUCAGAAAGAAAUUUUAACAUAAAAAGGGUAAUUUAAAGUUAUCAAUAACUAACAAUGGUAAAGCCACAUGUCUUGGAGGAAGAUAGUAAAAUCAGCAUAUGGGAGAAAAAAGAUAUAUGAACCACUUUUUGGGAAACUAUGUACAAAGUAGUCAAUCGUUGAAUUUUGUGGUGCUGUUUGACCACGACAGCAUCGUGUAUCCUCCCUGUGUUAUGUAUAAUGAUAGUGUGGCCAUCGUGGUCCCAAAUCAUGAUUUUGUGCAUUCUUCCAUACUGCCUCGCCUGGUUUUACCUUCACAGUUUUUGGUUGUUUCUCUGGCUACCCAUGGCAUUUUGUGCUCUUUGCAGCAAGCCAGCAACUCGUGUAUGUCCCACUUCUGUUUUCAAGGAAUGCUUCAAUCCUAUAGUUGACGCAGCUAGUGGACGUGACCUUAUUCCAGCCAUGGUUUAUGGAAGGAAUGUGCGGGGUCAGGAGUUUGGAGAAAUGUAUUGUGCAUUACUAGUAGUCAAUUCAUCUGUGGUAUCUGCGGCCAUGCUUCGAAUUUUCGGCUCAGAUGUUGCUGAACUUCCUUUAGUUGCAACAAGUAACAGGAAUCACGGGAAGGGCUACUUCCAAACACUCUUCUCCUGCAAUGAGAGGCUUUUGGCUUUCAUGAAUGUGAAGAGCCUUGUACUGCCAGCUGCAGAAGAAGCAGAAUCAAUAUGGACAGAUAAAUUUGGGUUUAGCAGGAUGAAGCCAGACGAGCCUUAAAUAGUCCAAGGUGCAAAGGAUAUUUCUGUUGAGAGAAUAUGACCGUUGGAGGGCAUUUCUGGAACUUCCAGAACCUGCUGUGGCUGAACCUUGGGUUCUUUAAUCACAUACAGCUAGUGAAAAACCAAAUCUCAGCAAUCAGAGAUGGCGUAUGAAUAUAGAAGAGUUGAGAUAAGGUCCAACGAAAUAUGUGAGAGGAUGUGUUUAAGUGCAUUGUUAAGUGUGUUGAUAUGAAGUGAUGGAGCACAAUGACAUAAAGUUGAAGUGCAUCAGGAAGCGUGUCGACAUAAAGAUGAUGGCAUCGUGUAGCGGGUUGACAUAAAUGGUAAAUGGUGUAACCUAAUUAAUUGAGUUAGGAUUUAUUCACACCUUAAUUUCACUUUUACUUCACUUUUUUAUCUAUUUGUCUCUUAUCUUUCAAUCAUAUUAUCACAUAUCACAUCUCUUUUUUUUUUUCUCUCUCUCUUUCUUAUAACUCUAUUCUUUCCACCUCUUUCACACUUUUGAUGUUUCUGCAAGGUGGCUCAGACCACAGGCAUAUCAAUGUGACGUAUUGGUAGCCAAGGAAAUCCUAUAAUGCACCCUAAACACACACGUGGUUUCACUUGCACCAUUCAUGAAUGUACUUCAAUGCAAGAAAUUCUAUUUUAUUUGGUCUGUCCAGUUUUUAGACUUGGAGUGUCUAUUGCACAAGGACUGUCAGAUUGAUUUGAGGUGCAUUUAAUUAAAGCGCCACUUUACUUUGUAACUUAUGUCCCUUUAUGCAAUUUGGUAAAAGAAAUAUUUAU